rnacentral:rRNA from 1 species
GGUAAAGCGAAUGAUUAGAGGCCUUAGGAUCGAAACGAUCUUAACCUAUUCUCAAACUUUAAAUGGGUAAGAACCUCACCUUUCUUGAUAUGAAGGUUGUUGGUUGUGAUAUAUUGUGCCCAGUGGGCCACUUUUGGUAAGCAGAACUGGCGCUGUGGGAUGAACCAAACGUAAUGUUAAGGUGCCCAAAUUGACAACUCAUACAGAUACCAUGAAAGGCGUUGGUUGCUUAAAACAGCAGGACGGUGGACAUGGAAGUCGUAAUCCGCUAAGGAGUGUGUAACAACUCACCUGCCGAAGCAACUAGCCCUUAAAAUGGAUGGCGCUUAAGUUGUAUACCUAUACAUUACCGCUAAAGUAAAUGAUUUAUAUAUGCGAAAGUGUGUAUGAAUUUUAAAACUUUAGUGAGUAGGAGGGUAUAAUAAUGUGCAUGGAAGUGUUUGGCGUGAGCCUGCAUGGAGCCGUUAUUAGCACAGAUCUUGGUGGUAGUAGCAAAUAAUCGAAUGAGACCUUGGAGGACUGAAGUGGAGAAGGGUUUCGUGUGAACAGUGGUUGAUCWCGAGUUAGUCGGUCCUAAGUUCAAGGCGAAAGCUGAACAUUUUCAAGUAAAUAAAUAAAUAAAGCUUGUGCAAAAUGAAAUACUUGAAUUAUAUUGAACGAAAGGGAAUACGGUUCCAAUUCCGUAACCUGUUGAGUAUCCGUUUGUUAUUAAAUAUGGGCCUUGUGCUCAUCCUGGUAACAGGAACGACCAUAGAGAAGCCGUCGAGAGAUAUCGGAAGAGUUUUCUUUUCUGUUUUAUAAUCGUAUUACCAUGGAAGUCUUUCGAAGAGAGAUAUGGUAAAUGGAUUAGAAGAGCAUGACAUUUACUGUUGUGUCGAUAUUAUCUCCUCGGACCUUGAAAAUCUAUGGUGGGGUCACGCAAACUUCUCAACAGGCCGUACCGAUAUCCGCAGCUGGUCUCCAAGGUGAAGAGCCUCUAGUCGAUAGAAUAAUGUAGGUAAGGGAAGUCGGCAAAUUAGAUCCGUAACUUCGGGAUAAGGAUUGGCUCUGAAGAUUGAGAUAAUCGGGCUUGAUUGGGAAGCAAUAACAUGGUUUUACAUUCUCGUUCUGGGUAAAUUAGAGAUUACUUUUCUUCCUUUAAUCGGGUUGAAAGUAUCUUGUUCCCCGGAUAGUUUAGUUAUGUAACCAAUUGUGGAACUUUCUUGCUAAAAUUUUUAAGGGAUAUCAUUUGAGUUUGUGACUGUUUGGUCAUGCUUGAAUGUAUGGUUCCUUUUUAAUUAUAACGAUUAUCAAUUAACAAUCAAUUCAGAACUGGCACGGACUUGGGGAAUCCGACUGUCUAAUUAAAACAAAGCAUUGUGAUGGCCCUAACGGGUGUUGACACAAUGUGAUUUCUGCCCAGUGCUCUGAAUGUCAAAGUGAAGAAAUUCAAAUAAGCGCGGGUCAACGGCGGGAGUAACUAUGACUCUCUUAAGGUAGCCAAAUGCCUCGUCAUCUAAUUAGUGACGCGCAUGAAUGGAUUAACGAGAUUCCUACUGUCCCUAUCUACUAUCUAGCGAAACCACAGCCAAGGGAACGGNNNNNNNNNNNNNNNCGGGGAAAGAAGACCCUGUUGAGCUUGACUCUAAUCUGGCAGUGUAAGGAAACAUAAGAGGUGUAGAAUAAGUGGGAGAUUUAUAAGUUUCAAUAUUUAUCCUUCACCGGUUAAAUACUUAUUUAUCAACAAUGAAAUACCACUACUCUUAUUGUUUCCUUACUUACUUGAUUAAAUGGAACGUGUAUCAUUUUCUAGCCAUUAUACGGAUGGAUAGGCAUUAAAACCUAUUUAUCUUAUGGUAUUGGAUUUUGAUGCAAGCUUCUUGAACAAAAUGGCAUAGAGUUUGUUAUAUAAUUGUAAACAAAUAUUUUAAUGAAGUAAUUGCAAUAUGUCAUUUCUACAAACAGCUAUCGCAGUGCAUAUGUGUGUGUGCAUAUUAUAUUUGUUUCGGCAGAUAUAUUUGUGUGUGCAUGUAUGUUACGGGUAGUAUGAGUGUUAUGAUUAUAUUUGUUGAUUAUGUGUAAUUGAAAAUUUGGUAUAACACCCAACACUCAGCUAUGAUCCAAUUCAAGGACAUUGUCAGGUGGGGUGUUUGACUGGGGCGGUACAUCUCUCAAAUAAUAACGGAGGUGUCCCAAGGCCAGCUCAGUGCGGACAGAAACCACACAUAGAGCAAAAGGGCAAAUGCUGACUUGAUCUCGUUGUUCAGUACACAAAGAGACAGCAAAAGCUCGGCCUAUCGAUCCUUUUGGUUUAAGGAGUUUUUAGCAAGAGGUGUCAGAAAAGUUACCACAGGGGUAACUGGCUUGUGGCGGCCAAGCGUUCAUAGCGACGUCGCUUUUUGAUCYUUCGAUGUCGGCUCUUCCUAUCAUUGUGAAGCAAAAUUCACCAAGCGUUGGAUUGUUCACCCAUUCAAGGGAACGUGAGCUGGGUUUAGACCGUCGUGAGACAGGUUAGUUUUAUCCUCCUGAUGACUUAUAUAUUUAAAUAUUAUUGCGACAGCAUUCCUGCGUAGUACGAGAGGAACCGCAGGUACGGACUUAUGGUACAAUACUUGUUCGAGCGAACAGUGGUAUGACGCUACGUCCGUUGGAUUAUGCCUGAACGCCUCUAAGGUCGUAUCCGUGCUGGUCGGCAAUAAUAAAAAUGGAGCACAUGCAUUGUAUGGCAACGUAUAAACAAUUUUCAAGUUUAUAUACUCGCUAUAUAAACGAAGAAUUCAAUUGUGAUGCCAAUGACAUUUAUAACAUUGCUCAUAUGGGCUGGAUCUUAUCUACCUAUAGACUAUGCAAGUUGUAAAUCAAAUCAUUUCAAUGCAAUGGCAGUGCUUAGAAUCAAUUGUAU